UACGGAGGGUGCAAGCAUUAAUCGGAUUUAUUGGGCGUAAAGGGCGCGUAGGUGGGGAUAUUAGUCAGAUGUGAAAUCCCGGGGCUCAACCUCGGAACUGCAUUUGAAACUGUAUCUCUUGAGGGUAGGCGGAGAAAACGGAAUUCCACAAGUAGCGGUGAAAUGCGUAGAUAUGUGGAAGAACACCGGUGGCGAAGGCGGUUUUCUAGCUUAUUCCUGACGCUGAUGCGCGAAAGCAAGGGGAUCAAACAGG
rnacentral:rRNA from 1 species